CCCAAAACACCUCACUUUUUGUACCUUGAUCAACAAGCAUUUCUGCUUGUGUUUUAUGGCAGCUAAAAUAUACAAUAUAUUAAAUAAUUUUGCUGUUUUUAGUAUAAUACCCAUUCCUAUUCCAUUUUAGUAUAAUCCAUUCCUAAGAAUAGUACAUAUAAAAUAUUAAAAAGUACGCAUCCCGGAUACCGACAAGAUAAAUUAUCUGGCUUUCUGCCAAUAAGUAGAGGCAGUAUCAAUCUGAUCCUGUGUAGCUCACAGGUCCGACUCUUUGAUGUGCUGGACCGGGAGAGCGCUCAAGGGCGCGAUCCUUUCGCCAGGAUGUCAGUUGCGAUACCUGCCCCCCUGUCGUCGGGCGUCAUCUCUCCACACCGAAUUGCACGUUCACGGUCAACUGAGCGACGGAUUAUAUAGUGUCGGCGAGCGCAGAGCGCGCUGUUCCCCUGAAUGCACCAGGCGGUGUAUUAGCAUGCAUAUUCACACUGAAUUAGCGGGGCGUCAGGAGAGAUCCGGGGAUCACCGUGUUAAGUGGAACAAGGGAUCAGCGAGGAUUUCCGAUCAGAAUCACUGUUACUGCGCGGAACAAAUCCACGAUGGUGUGUCGACCUGUCAUUGAAACCGGCACAUCGAUCCUGCGAAUAUCAGAAGGAAAGGUCUGGACACUUGAUAUCCAUUUACAUGUUUGUUAUAAUGUGGUAACGUAAGUAUAAAUAACCGUCUGUGUUUAAGAAGGGAGGAUAAUUGAUUGUUACAAUUUGUACGACUUAUAUAGGCCUAUUGGUAGUGUCGUAUUCUUAUUUGGAAGGCUUUAAAUCUCCAAAUAGUCUGGAGAAAUCUUUAACUUUACACACAUGGCUCAUAAAGUAUUUGAUAUGUAUAAUUGCCCCCGAGAAAAUAUCACCGUGCGCUGCUGAACGACUGCCUUUUUUAGGUGUAAUCAGUUCAUUUAUUUUCGUUUCAGCGCUGGCCGCGAUAUGCAGGCUAUCGCUUUCUACGCGCCUGUCACCGUUGAUGGAUUAAUGCAGAGAAACCACGAUAUGGAAAACGCUGCUGCCGACUCCCGCUCUUCUCUCGCCAAAGCCAGUGGUUUCCUAACCCAGCCCACACCUUUCACAUCUCGCUAAAAAUUAUUAUUUUUUUGUUAAUUUAAGUCUAUAGAUUCUUUCGAACGGCCAUCGCAAACGCGAGCUAUGGAGAGGAGCCGCAAAACCUGAGAACACUGUACUUCGGGAGGCGUCGUUUCUUUUACAGUCCAGAGUUUGUUUUAUGGUCAGGCUGUGCGCCAUUUAUCCUCCAACCGUAAACGUGGCAGCCGGAGAACGUCAUUUCAAGUGCUCAGGAUUAAUCGUGAAGGAAAAUGAGCAAUAACAAAUUUAAAAAAUCAUAAAAGCGUAAAUUUUCUAAUACUUAUGUAAGACAAUUCCCUUUAACAUUUUUUUACGUAUAAUUAAUCAAAUUUAAUAUAUACUAAUACGAUUUUUUCCGUUGAAUUCAUCUUAUGAAAUAACUGUGAUUUUAUAUUAUUAUCACAUUUCAAUGACACUGUAAUAGUGUUUUCCUUAAGUUGUGAUUGUGUGUGUUGGUGUGUGAGGAUCUAAAUGGAAGCAUGUACCAGUGGGCAUCUUAAUCCUCAGGUGCUGCCACCCAUCCACGCAUCCAUCCAUCCACCCAUCCAUCCACACACCUUCUAUCCACCUAUCUUUGUUGGAGUUGCAGGUGGCCUGGAACCUAUCCCAGGCAAAGCAGGGCACGAGGCUGGGGUCACCCAGGCUGGGAUGCCAGUCCAUGACAGGGCACAUACACCAACACACACAAUCACACUCUAGGGGCAAUUUAGAGAUGCCAAUUUGCCUAUAGCACCAGGAGGAAACCCACGCAACACAAUGAGAACAUCCAUACUCCCCGAACAGAGCGCUGCAGCGGAAAUGAAAUCCCCACACCUGCAGGAGUGAAGCAGCAGUGCUGCCCACCGAUCCACUUCCAGUGCUCCCAGUUUGCGGAAUAUGUGUGCCAGUGAGGCUUUCAUUCUUCGGGGCAUGCUCUUUCCACCUGGGAUGUCUUGGCGUGGGUUAUACCUUCUUCCCCUCACCUUCUUCUACUUGACGUGCGUAUAGUGUUCCCAGGAAUCAGAGUCAACGUGGGCAACAGCAGCAAUUAUCUUAAGCAAAUAUCUCCAUCCAUGCUUCAGUUCAUUCACCGUGAUCUUACAUACACACACACCCGUCAAUCGCUGAAAUGCAUGGUUGUUUCACUUCAUCCAAAGGUGUCCUUUCAUAAAUUAAAAAUAAUACACUAUCCAAGAGACACAAGUGUCACUUGCAUCCACAUGAGAUACACUCAAACAUAAGAGUGCAUCAACAGUUAGAAUAAAACCAUAAGCAUGUUCUGAAGGGCUGUGGCCCUGAGCGAUGAACCAAAUUGUAUUUCAUUCAAAAUAUUUUGGCUGCUGUGCAAUAAAACGAGUUUCCUCCAGUCUGGCAGAAACAAAUGAAAACACAUACGUGACCAGCAGAGAAACACCUCAGAUCAAUCAAAAGCGAUUCUUCAAUUCGGUAAAAUAAAACAAAAACAAAAAUAUACGAUGUGUCACGGGGGGAGAUGAUUAAUGAUAUGGCAAAUUAGUUUUAAUACCUAAAUUAACAUCUGGGGCUCAGGCUUCUCCCAUCAGCAUGCUAUUUCCUGUUAUGCUUAUAUUGUAUUGAUUUUGCAGUGCAAACAGACCAUGUGACUCAACUUAAAUAAUUACAAGUUAACCAACUGCAGUUACUCUAAGAAACUGAGACACCAGGCAAGCUUUGUUCUGUAAAAGGUGAGCAUGUUAGCGGGGAGUAUUAUUCAGGUGAGGCAGCAGUUUGUGUUACUCAAUGUUGUUGAGAAUGGUGCUGUACUGAUUUAGUCCAAAUUCUAUUUAAAAUGACCAUCACUAGGACGGAACUACAGUUGCAUCAGAUCCACAUCACUAACUCAUGCUUUAGUUGUUCUUUUUUUAAGGGAUGAUACUUGGUGCCAGCAUUCAAGUCUCUGCAUCACUGGGUGGAAUUUACACAUUCUCUCCUUAUUGUUUCCUCUGGAUUCUCUGGGUUUUCCCAGUCCAAAAAUAUGUUAACCUGCUUUGAAGCUGCCAGGGAGAAUGGUGAGUGUGCCUUGCGUGGCUUCUGGGAUGGGCUCCAGACCAUGCAUGGACCAAGCAGGUGGGUGAUAUUUGUGUCCUGCAUUCUGGUUAAUUGGCUGAGUACUGUCUGCCCAAUAUCCCACUUUAUUUAAGAAACCAAAAUUAAAUUGACAGCAUAUUCAUUGAGAUCAUCAACUUAAUGAUCUCCCAAACCCAUCUCUUAAAUCAUAAGGUAGGAGAUGCUACAAUUUUUAUGGUGCGUUGCUCUCUUGCACUUCGCUUUGUGUUGCUUUGCUUCUAGACAACAGAAGCCAGGAAUCACUUCAGCACCUCUGAAGCAGUAUAUGUAAAAGGUCUACAGACCCCCCCUCCCCAGUCAGAAACAUUCUUCAGGAUUUAUAAAAUAAAUACUGGAUGCCCAUUGCUCCAUGAUACAUCGCCAAGACUUCCAGAGCCCAGGAGAGGAACAUCUCUGAGGGUCAUGUGGCCUGGAUAGGUUCUCUGGAAGAAAAGAACUGGGUUUUUGCCCUUCAGGCUGAAGAGCGGCAGCGAUGUGUCACUCACAAGGGCUGUUUGGCCAUGUGAGUCAGGGACAAGCAUGCGUGCAGUUAAAUGAGGAGGAUGGGAGAGCGUCACAAGGAUGGGGGUUAGGGGAGGAGCCACGCAAUGACGACGCGGAUAACAUCAACUCACACAUGCCCGCAUCUGUGGACUCUCUGCAGUUUUCAGUUUCAUUUUUCAGGUUUUUAAUUUUUUUUAACCCCUACGGAACUGAAUGCCCCUUAUUUUUUUAACCAGGACUCUUUUAAGAUUCUUUUUUUCUUUUAAAUGCCUCUUUCUCUUGUUUCCUUCGUACAUGUGGCAUUUUUCAGUGGCACAUUAUUACACGGAGGCCUGGGGACCGCCGUUCGCCCAUGAAAGAUUUCCCAGAGGAGGGUGGUCAAAGAACAGACGAAUCGGGGGCUGGGGUCACGAGGCGGGGGAUUCAGCAUGCGCUCACAGCCCGCCCAACAACACAGUAAUGAUGCACGUAAGGAAAGGAAGGGUGGGGGGACUUCACUUCAAAAGUGAAGAAGGGACGUAGCAACACAACACCGUAUGUGUUCUCAGUAACAGUCAUUUUUAAAAGGUGCAUGAAAUGGAUGCAAGUCGAACUGGUUCAUACAAAUUCAUGACCUUCAUGGCCUGGGCCGAGUGGUAUGACAGUAACACUAGUUUUUCAAUCUGUUUAAGCCACCCGGCCGCGGUAAAGCGAAGUUCUUGGCCUGACUAGUUCCUCACGCUGAGUCAACAUGCGAAUCACACUUUGCAGAACACUCCAGUCCCUCUUGUUCUUUUUAAUUAGUUUAACUUUAACAAACACUCAGGUGCUGGUUAUUUCUGUUUGUUCAGUGUAUCUCUGUUAUCGCUCUGGGCAUUUCGAAGAACAGGAGAUGCACUGAGCCGCAGCAAUUCAUGGAGAGUCUCUUCCCAUAGGUGAAUGUGUACAACUGUCAGUCUGGGUAUAAUACACCUAUGUAAAUUACAUAAAUCACACACAUUACUGAUGUGAGGGAUUCACAAUUAUUAAAAAUAGUCAAAAAAAUA